GGGGCUGUAGCUCAGUGGUAGGGCACUUGCCUAGUAUGUGUGAGGCCCAGGGUUCGAUUCUCAGCACCA
rnacentral:tRNA from 1 species